AUACAGGUCUGCCAGGACUUCUAGCACAAGGUAAUGAUGAGAUUGAUCAGUUACUAAUAGGUAACAUGCUAGAAGCCUCAGUAUUUUAUAAGAAACACCAUGUAAAUAGCAAAGGUUUGAAGAAGGAUUUCUCCAUCACUUGGCAACCAGCCAAGGAUAUUGUAAAAAAAAAAUGUCCUACUUGUUCUUUCUAUAACCAAACUCCAUUAACUGCAGGGAGGAAUCCAAAAAGUAUACAAAGAAAUGAAAUUUGGCAGAUGGAUGUGUUUCAUUUCACAGAAUUUGGAAGAUUAAAGUAUGUACACCAUACCAUUGACACCUAUUCAGGAAUUCAGUGGGCAACUCCUAUGAGUUCUGAAAAGGCUGAAUCUGUGAUUAUAUACCUAUUAUAAGUUACGGCCAUCAUGGGAAUACCUGUACAAAUUAAGACAAACAAUGCCCCAGCAUAUGUCUCCAAUAAAAUGAGACAGAUUUUUGCUUAUUACAAUAUAAAGCAUGUUACAGGUAUACCACACAAUCCCACAGGCCAAGCAGUCAUAGAAAGAUCCAAUCUAACUUCAAAGGAUAUGCUAAAUAAACAGCAACAGGUAACAAUGACUCCUAGAAAUAGAUUUGCAUAGUGCUUUAUUAACCUUGAAUUUUCUCAAUGCUGAUGAGAAAGAAACAACCAGCUGCGGAGAGACAUUGGACAACAGACAAAACUUCUGAGCUAAAUCAACCAGUUUAUUUCAAAAUGUGUUAACCUCAGAAUGGAAACCAGGAUACGUCCUACCUUGGAGAAGGGGUUUUGCUUUUGUUUCUGCAGGAGAAGAAGCUAUGAAUACCAACAAAAUUAAUAAAAUUUCAAUUCAAACAGGAGAAACCCUUUGCUGAGGAGAAGUAAAAGCUCAUUUACCAAUGUGACAUCUCUACAAGUUAUAAGAAAAAUUUAACAAAAAAAGGUUGGGGUAGGGUUCUGUUUUUGUCCUUCUAGGAUAAUGGAAAUAUCCAUCUUCCAGAAAUCACAAGGCCUUGGAUAUCCAGACAUCUACAGCAGAAAGAAAGAAUCUGUUUUACCAAUCUACACAGGGUAAAAUCUCGCUGCUUAACAUCUAUAUCUCUUUAAAUCUAGAAAAGUUGUGGUUCUGAUUCAAUUAUAUACCAAGCUGGCUUUAGAGUUGGAAUUGGCUCACUCCUUCUCUAAAACCAAGCAUAUUGCUAAAAGAAAAAGGUUCAGAGAUUCUGUCUCAUAUCACAAGAGCUAUCUGGUGUGGGACAGAAGAAAAACAAUAAAAAGGGACCAUUGUCUUCAAGUUCUAAUUCUUUCCAUGUUGACUCUUGAUUUCUCAGAAUCCUUUUUUACGUAUCAUGUCAUCUUCAAAUCCAUACUUUCCACUUUGAUAUUAAUAAUGUUCAAGUUUUUCACAGUAAAAAAUAAGUUUUUCCAAUGGCAAUCUCUGAAGUCUCCAGAAGAAAGGUGGGCCCCACAACAACAACUCUACCCAAUCCAGAAUGAUACUAUGGUACUCAUCAUCAUACUACACUUCUAGCCAGGAUCUCAGACAACCUUACCCAUUACUCUGAGACUGGCUGCAUAAUCUACAUUUAGUCUAACUGAGACUUAACUUUCUGAGCUUUCUUACAGGACCCCACAGAGAUACCAUCACCCCUUGAACAGCAGGAAGCAAUUCUAAGAAAACGAUGCCACUUUUUUCCAAAGGUUUCAUGUUACUGAGGUUUAUGGGUAAUGGUUAUAGGGUUGAGGGUGGAAGAAAACAUUGGACUCAGUAUUCCUCUUAAGAAAAGAAAAAAAGGGGAAUGGAUAGGUAUAGGAUAUUAAGAUAUAUUAUUAUAUAUACUAGUAAACUAACCUAGUAAAAUAUCAGCCUUAGAUAAUCAAACUGUUAUGAAUUCUUGUAUAUUGAUACAAAUACAGAACCAUAUUUGUUGUAAUGUACAUAUAUUUCUACUUUUAUUUGAAAUGCUUUAUGUAUUGAUACAAAUGUAAACUUAUAUUUGUCAUUCUGUAUGUAUGGUCUACCUCUGUUUAGGAUAUUUGGUAUAUUGAUAUAUAUUUAGAAAUAUUGUCAUAUUGCAUAUUGUACUAUACAUUUCCACCACUGCUUUAGCUAUUUUGUGUAUUGUCACAAUUUUGAGGUCAUUGUCCUUUUACUGUACAUUUGCUUACAGACUGUUUAACCUGUUUACGUGAAGCCUUAGUCCUUAGGUUAUCUAGGUAGGUAAGACUUACAGAUUUAUAGUCACCUAUGCUUGUCAUCUCUAUAGUUAUGUUAGUUAGGUUCUCCAGACUUACAGAAACAUGUGUCAGAUGGAUAGGUAGUCUUCAAACACUUCAUAGACCUGGGGAAUAUAGCAUUUAAAUGUUUUGAUAACUUGGAAUUCUGUUGACGUGAGACACAAUUGCUCCUGGCAGCACCAUUCUGAUCCCAGGAGAAUGUUGGGCUUCUGAGACAUUUCCGUUUGGAAGUUUGUCUUUGCCUUGACACAAAACGGCCUACUGGUUGAAGAACUGCCCUUGCCUCGACUGCUGAUAGUAAAAUGGUCUGACAGAUACUCUAGGCCUGUAGCCAAUUUGAAUGCACCAGCGAUGCUGAGAAACUUUAGGUGACUGUCCAGGCUGCCAGCUGUCUCUGUCUACUCUCAAAAGACUCCCAAAAGUUGCUUUCAUCCUUCUCCCAUUUCUCAGAGUUUCCUAAGGAUUAUGUUACCCCCAGACAGCAGGAAGUAAUUUUAAGAACACAACACCCACAUUCCCAAGAGACAAAAAGGAGGAAAUGGCCAGGUUUUGAUGGUGCAUGCCUUUAAUCCCAGCACUUGGGAGGAAGAGGCAGGUAGAUCUCUGUGAGUUCGAGGCCAGCCUGGUCUACAA